ACUAAGCGUACACGGUGGAUGCCCUGGCAGUCAGAGGCGAUGAAGGGCGUGCUAAUCUGCGAUAAGCGCCGGUAAGGUGAUAUGAACCGUUAUAACCGGCGAUACCCGAAUGGGGAAACCCAGUGUGACUCGUCACACUAUCAUUAACUGAAUCCAUAGGUUAAUGAGGCGAACCGGGGGAACUGAAACAUCUAAGUACCCCGAGGAAAAGAAAUCAACCGAGAUUCCCCCAGUAGCGGCGAGCGAACGGGGAGGAGCCCAGAGCCUGAAUCAGCAUGUGUGUUAGUGGAAGCGUCUGGAAAGGCGCGCGAUACAGGGUGAC
rnacentral:rRNA from 1 species